GGCGACAUAGCCAAGUGGUAAGGCAGAGGACUGCAAAUCCUUUAUCCCCGGUUCGAGUCCGGGUGUCGCCUCCA
rnacentral:tRNA from 1 species